rnacentral:rRNA from 1 species
UGACGGAGCAACGCCGCGUGAGUGAUGAAGGCUUUCGGGUCGUAAAACUCUGUUGUUAGGGAAGAACAAGUACAAGAGUAACUGCUUGUACCUUGACGGUACCUAACCAGAAAGCCACGGCUAACUACGUGCCAGCAGCCGCGGUAAUACGUAGGUGGCAAGCGUUAUCCGGAAUUAUUGGGCGUAAAGCGCGCGCAGGCGGUUUCUUAAGUCUGAUGUGAAAGCCCACGGCUCAACCGUGGAGGGUCAUUGGAAACUGGGGAACUUGAGUGCAGAAGAGAAAAGCGGAAUUCCACGUGUAGCGGUGAAAUGCGUAGAGAUGUGGAGGAACACCAGUGGCGAAGGCGGCUUUUUGGUCUGUAACUGACGCUGAGGCGCGAAAGCGUGGGGAGCAAACAGGA